rnacentral:rRNA from 1 species
GAUGAACGCUGGCGGCGUGCCUAAUACGUGCAAGUCGAGCGAACGGACGAGAAGCUUGCUUCUCUGAUGUUAGCGGCGGACGGGUGAGUAACACGUGGAUAACCUACCUAUAAGACUGGGAUAACUUCGGGAAACCGGAGCUAAUACCGGAUGAUAUUUUGAACCGCAUGGUUCAAAAGUGAAAGACGGUCUUGCUGUCACUUAUAGAUGGAUCCGCGCUGCAUUAGCUAGUUGGUAAGGUAACGGCUUACCAAGGCAACGAUGCAUAGCCGACCUGAGAGGGUGAUCGGCCACACUGGAACUGAGACACGGUCCAGACUCCUACGGGAGGCAGCAGUAGGGAAUCUUCCGCAAUGGGCGAAAGCCUGACGGAGCAACGCCGCGUGAGUGAUGAAGGUCUUCGGAUCGUANAACUCUGUUAUUAGGGAAGAACAUAUGUGUAAGUAACUGUGCACAUCUUGACGGUACCUAAUCAGAAAGCCACGGCUAACUACGUGCCAGCAGCCGCGGUAAUACGUAGGUGGCAAGCGUUAUCCGGAUUAUUGGGCGUAAAGCGCGCGUACGCCGGUUUUUUAGUCUGAUGUGAAAGCCCACGGCUCAACCGUGGAGGGUCAUUGGAAACUGGAAAACUUGAGUGCAGAAGAGGAAAGUGGAAUUCCAUGUGUAGCGGUGAAAUGCGCAGAGAUAUGGAGGAACACCAGUGGCGAAGGCGACUUUCUGGUCUGUAACUGACGCUGAUGUGCGAAAGCGUGGGGAUCAAACAGGAUUAGAUACCCUGGUAGUCCACGCCGUAAACGAUGAGUGCUAAGUGUUAGGGGGUUUCCGCCCCUUAGUGCUGCAGCUAACGCAUUAAGCACUCCGCCUGGGGAGUACGACCGCAAGGUUGAAACUCAAAGGAAUUGACGGGGACCCGCACAAGCGGUGGAGCAUGUGGUUUAAUUCGAAGCAACGCGAAGAACCUUACCAAAUCUUGACAUCCUUUGACAACUCUAGAGAUAGAGCCUUCCCCUUCGGGGGGGACAAAGUGACAGGUGGUGCAUGGUUGUCGUCAGCUCGUGUCGUGAGAUGUUGGGUUAAGUCCCGCAACGAGCGCAACCCUUAAGCUUAGUUGCCAUCAUUAAGUUGGGCACUCUAAGUUGACUGCCGGUGACAAACCGGAGGAAGGUGGGGAUGACGUCAAAUCAUCAUGCCCCUUAUGAUUUGGGCUACACACGUGCUACAAUGGACAAUACAAAGGGCAGCGAAACCGCGAGGUCAAGCAAAUCCCAUAAAGUUGUUCUCAGUUCGGAUUGUAGUCUGCAACUCGACUACAUGAAGCUGGAAUCGCUAGUAAUCGUAGAUCAGCAUGCUACGGUGAAUACGUUCCCGGGUCU